GGGGGAGGUAGGGCUGAGUUAGGUUCUAUUGUUCUGUGACAGGUGGUGGGAGGUGGUGGGGUAUAUGAGCCAGGAUAGGAGAGCCAUACAGGGCCCGGUACUCUGUGACAGCCCCCCAGGGUGGUGGGUGGGUGGUGCCCUCUGAGCCUGGCUGGGAGGUGGGGGGUGACACUCACAGCAUGUCUGCCCUGCAGCUCCGCCAGUCGUUGUUUGCGGAUGGCGUCUAGCUCCGGAUCAGCCAUGUCUCCCCCAAGCCUGUCUCUCGUUACCGCUGGGCACUGAGUGCGUGUUACGUCACCACGCGCUCUGCAGGCCGUGCUAAUAGAGCGUGACGCAGCCUGCGCUAUCCAUUACCGAGCUCACCGGCUGUUGCCAUGGC